rnacentral:tRNA from 1 species
CAGAGAAUAGUUUAAUUAAAAUACCAGCUUUGGGAGUUGGUGAUAAAGGUUUGAUUCCUUUUUUUCUGA